rnacentral:rRNA from 1 species
UUGACCUCAAAUCAGGUAGGACUACCCGCUGAACUUAAGCAUAUCAAUAAGCGGAGGAAAAGAAACUAACAAGGAUUCCCCUAGUAACUGCGAGUGAAGCGGGAAAAGCUCAAAUUUAAAAUCUGGCGGUCUUGCGGCCGUCCGAGUUGUAAUCUGGAGAAGCGUUUAUCCGCGUCGGACCGUGUACAAGUCUUCUGGAAGGGAGCGUCGUAGAGGGUGAGAAUCCCGUCUUUGACACGGACAACCGGUGCUUUU